rnacentral:rRNA from 1 species
GUCUACAGCCAUGCCACUCUGAACAAGCCUGAUGUCUGAUCUUGGAAGCUAAGCAGGGUUGGGCCUCAUUAGUACUUGGAUGGGAGACCACCUAGUGAGACCAGGUACUGUAGGCA